rnacentral:rRNA from 1 species
AGCGAACGCUGGCGGCAGGCUUAACACAUGCAAGUCGAACGGUCCUUCGGGAUAGUGGCGGACGGGUGAGUAACACGUGGGAACGUACCCUUAGGUUCGGAACAACACAGGGAAACUUGUGCUAAUACCAGAUAAGCCCCUCGGGGGAAAGAUUUAUCGCCUUUGGAGCGGCCCGCGUCUGAUUAGCUUGUUGGUGAGGUAAUGGCUCACCAAGGCUACGAUCAGUAGCUGGUCUGAGAGGAUGGCCAGCCACACUGGGACUGAGACACGGCCCAGACUCCUACGGGAGGCAGCAGUGGGGAAUCUUGCGCAAUGGGCGAAAGCCUGACGCAGCCAUGCCGCGUGGAUGAUGAAGGUCUUAGGAUUGUAAAAUCCUUUCACCGGGACGAUAAUGACGGUACCCGGAGAAGAAGCCCCGGCUAACUUCGUGCCAGCAGCCGCAGUAA